rnacentral:rRNA from 1 species
CCUUCGAAGAGUCGAGUUGUUUGGGAAUGCAGCUCAAAAUGGGUGGUAAAUUUCAUCUAAAGCUAAAUAUUGGCGAGAGACCGAUAGCGCACAAGUAGAGUGAUNGAAAGAUGAAAAGCACUUUGAAAAGAGAGUUAAACAGUACGUGAAAUUGUUGAAAGGGAAGCGCUUGCAAUCAGNCCUGCUUGCGGUUGAUCAACGUUCCUUNUGGGUCGUGCACUCUGCCGUUUGCAGGCCAGCAUCGGUUAGAGCGGUGGGACAAAGGUAGCGGGAAUGUGGCUCCUUUCGGGGAGUGUUAUAGCCCGUUGCGUAAUNCCACCAGCUCUGACCGAGGUCCGCGGUUCGCCUAGGAUGCUGGCUUAAUGAUUGUAAGCGACCCGUCUUGAAACACGGACCAAGGAGUCUAACAUCUAUGCGAGUGUUUGGGUGCAAAACCCAUGCGCGAAAUGAAAGUGAACGGAGGUGGGAGUCUUCGGAUGCACCAUCGACCGAUCCUGAUGUCUUCGGAUGGAUUUGAGUAGGAGCAUAGCUGUUGGGACCCGAAAGAUGGUGAACUAUGCCUGAANAGGGUGAAGCCAGAGGAAACUCUGGUGGAGGC